rnacentral:misc_RNA from 1 species
UGCUGUCUGCCUGCCUGCCUAGAGG